rnacentral:rRNA from 1 species
GAAAGGUAUGCUAAUACGGGAUAAUAUAUUUGAGAGGCAUCUCUUAAAUAUCAAAGGUGAGCCAGUACAGGAUGGACCCGCGUCUGAUUAGCUAGUUGGUAAGGUAACGGCUUACCAAGGCGACGAUCAGUAGCCGACCUGAGAGGGUGAUCGGCCACAUUGGAACUGAGACACGGUCCAAACUCCUACGGGAGGCAGCAGUGGGGAAUAUUGCACAAUGGGCGAAAGCCUGAUGCAGCAACGCCGCGUGAGCGAUGAAGGCCUUCGGGUCGUAAAACUCUGUCCUCAAGGAAGAUAAUGACGGUACUUGAGGAGGAAGCCCCGGCUAACUACGUGCCAGCAGCCGCGGUAAUACGUAGGGGGCUAGCGUUAUCCGGAUUUACUGGGCGUAAAGGGUGCGUAGGCGGUCUUUCAAGUCAGGAGUGAAAGGCUACGGCUCAACCGUAGUAAGCUCUUGAAACUGGGAGACUUGAGUGCAGGAGAGGAGAGUGGAAUUCCUAGUGUAGCGGUGAAAUGCGUAGAUAUUAGGAGGAACACCAGUUGCGAAGGCGGCUCUCUGGACUGUAACUGACGCUGAGGCACGAAAGCGUGGGGAGCAAACAGGAUUAGAUACCCUGGUAGUCC